rnacentral:rRNA from 1 species
AUGCAGUCGAGCGGGGUUUUCGGACCUAGCGGCGGACGGGUGAGUAAUGCGUAUGAAGCUACCCGAUAGAGGGGGAUACCAGUUGGAAACGACUGUUAAUACCGCAUAAUGUCUACGGACCAAAGUGUGGGACCUUCGGGCCACAUGCUAUCGGAUGCGCCUACGUGGGAUUAGCUAGUUGGUGAGGUAAUGGCUCACCAAGGCGACGAUCUCUAGCUGGUUUGAGAGGAUGAUCAGCCACACUGGAACUGAGACACGGUCCAGACUCCUACGGGAGGCAGCAGUGGGGAAUAUUGGACAAUGGGCGCAAGCCUGAUCCAGCCAUGCCGCGUGUGUGAAGAAGGCCUUCGGGUUGUAAAGCACUUUCAGCGAGGAGGAAGGGGUAGGUGUUAAUAGCAUCUACUUUUGACGUUACUCGCAGAAGAAGCACCGGCUAACUCUGUGCCAGCAGCCGCGGUAAUACAGAGGGUGCAAGCGUUAAUCGGAAUUACUGGGCGUAAAGCGCACGCAGGCGGUUGGUUAAGUCAGAUGUGAAAGCCCCGGGCUCAACCUGGGAAUUGCAUUUGAAACUGGCCAACUAGAGUAUGUGAGAGGGGGGU